UUGUGGUCAUAUCACAUUGAAACACUGGUUCCCAAAUGAUCACUGAAGUUAAGCAACAUCAGGCCUGGUCAGUACCUAGAUGGGUGACUGCUUGCAAAUACCAGGUGCU